rnacentral:rRNA from 1 species
GACGAACGCUGGCGGCGUGCUUAACACAUGCAAGUCGAACGGAAAGGCCCUGCUUUUGUGGGCUGCUCGAGUUGCGAACUGGUGAGUAACACUUGAGUAACCUGCCCUUGACUUUGGGAUAACUUCAUGCAACUUGGGCUAAUACCGGCUAGGAUCUCCUGCUUCAUGGUGGGGGUUCGAAAGUUUCGGCGGUUGGGUAUGGACUCGCGGCUUAUAAGCUUGUUGGUGUGGUAGUGGAUUACCAAGGCUUUGACGGGUAGCCGGCCUGAGAGGGGGACCGGACACAUUAGGAUGGAAAUGAGGCCCAGACUACUACGGGAGGCAGCAGAGGGGAAGAGUACACUAGAGGCGGAAGGAAGAUGCAGCAAAGCAGCGUGGGGGGUGACGGCAUUGGGGUAGUAAUCCGAUUUCGCCUGUGACGAAGCGUGAGUGACGGUAAUGGGUGAAGAAGCACCGGCUAACUACGUG